CUUGCAAUUAGAAUGAUACAGAGAUGAUUAGCAUGGUCCCCUCCACAAGGAUGACACGCAAAUUGGUGAAGCAUUCCGUAUUAA
rnacentral:snRNA from 1 species